rnacentral:rRNA from 1 species
UACGUAGGGGGCAAGCGUUGUCCGGAAUCAUUGGGCGUAAAGAGCGUGUAGGCGGCCCGGUAAGUCCGCUGUGAAAGUCGGGGGCUCAACCCUCGAAUGCCGGUGGAUACUGUCGGGCUAGAGUGCGGAAGAGGCGAGUGGAAUUCCUGGUGUAGCGGUGAAAUGCGCAGAUAUCAGGAGGAACACCGGUGGCGAAGGCGGGUCUCUGGGCCGUAACUGACGCUGAGGAGCGAAAGCAUGGGGAGCGAACAGG